rnacentral:rRNA from 1 species
UUUGUGGGCUUUGCCCGCUACCUCUUACCAUGUCUUUUGAGUACUUACGUUUCCUCGGCGGGUCCGCCCGCCGAUUGGACAAAAUUAAACCCUUUGCAGUUGCAAUCAGCGUCUGAAAAACAUAAUAGUUACAACUUUCAACAACGGAUCUCUUGGUUCUGGCAUCGAUGAAGAACGCAGCGAAAUGCGAUAAGUAGUGUGAAUUGCAGAAUUCAGUGAAUCAUCGAAUCUUUGAACGCACAUUGCGCCCCUUGGUAUUCCAUGGGGCAUGCCUGUUCGAGCGUCAUUUGUACCUUCAAGCUUUGCUUGGUGUUGGGUGUUUGUCUCGCCUUUGCGUGUAGACUCGCCUCAAAACAAUUGGCAGCCGGCGUAUUGAUUUCGGAGCGCAGUACAUCUCGCGCUUUGCACUCAUAACGACGACGUCCAAAAGUACAUUUUUACACUCUUGACCUCGGAUCAGGUAGGGAUACCCGCUGAACUUAAGCAUAUCAUAACGCGGAAAGGAAAA